AAAGGAGAAACCAGUGAGGCUAGCAAAGGAACUCCUACAGGGUUUGUCCUGAAAUUCCUAUUCUUUCUAUCUUGGAUCUUUCUAUUGUUUGUACUUUAGUGUAUGAUCUUGGUAGACCGGAGAAUGUGUCUUGGCUGAAUUAUCUGAGUACUUUAGUGUAUGAUCUUGGUAGACCGGAGAAUGUGUCUUGGCUAAAUUAUCUGAGUACUUUAGUGUAUGAUCUUGGUAGACCGGAGAAUGUGUCUUGGCUGAAUUAUCUGAGUACUUUAGUGUAUGUGUCCUGGCAUGUGGCGAUCUUGCUUCAGACUUCUCUAGUGCCUGUGAUU
rnacentral:lncRNA from 1 species